rnacentral:misc_RNA from 1 species
AUUCGAUGGCAUCUCUCUGAAGGUUUGUACGUUAUCCCAUAACUUUUUGGUGACGUUUUCUUCUAGUUUUGCAAUAGAGUCUCUGCUUGUUGUAGCUAAGAGUUUGACUGAUUAUAAUAAGGUGCAUCACAACUAGACUCUUGAUCAAUAAGACAUAUCAACCUUUGUUUGAAUCAAUGGGACUGGCACAUAAAACUCUUGAAGAAAAUAUACAAUUUAAGAUAUAAAUUAAUAGGCCAAUCUGUAUGUGCUUAUGCACACUUAUGCACGGAGGUACAUGCAUGUGGGGCAUUGAAAAAGUAAAAUAUAGCGGCUUGAUGGAUAUAUAAUAUAUCUACUGGAAGUCAUUAUCAUCUUAUCUUCGUUUCCUUUCUGUAUCCUUGUGCUUAUCUAAAAUUAUGAUUAGACAUGUUUAUCCAGAAUGACAACUCAAUGAUUAUGUUGCUAAUAAACGUUGUUUUCAAAAAAU